rnacentral:rRNA from 1 species
GAGGUCAACCUGCCAGUGACUACAAGUUCAACGGCCGCGGUAUUCUGACCGUGCAAAGGUAGCGCAAUCACUUGUCUUUUAAAUAGAGACCUGUAUGAAUGGCUAAACGAAGGCUUAACUGUCUCCCCUCUCAAGUCAGUGAAAUUGAUCUACCCGUGCAGAAGCGGAUAUAAUAAUACAAGACGAGAAGACCCUUUGGAGCUUAAGGUACAAAAUUUAACCACGUCAAGCAACUCAAUAAAAACAAAAACUUCGUGGAAUAUAAAAUUUUACCUUCGGUUGGGGCGACCACGGAGAAAAACUAAACCUCCAAGUGGACUGGGACAAUACUCCUAAAACCAAGAGAGACAUCUCUAAGCCACAGAACAUCUGACCAAACAUGAUCCGGCCACCAAAAGCCGACUAACGAACCAAGUUACCCUAGGGAUAACAGCGCAAUCCUCUCCCAGAGUCCAUAUCGACGAGGGGGUUUACGACCUCGAUGUUGGAUCAGGACACCCUAAUGGUGCAGCCGCUAUUAAGGGUUCGUUUGUUCAACGAUUAAAGUCCU